UCAACCUUUUACUCGGAUCGUUCGGCACGUACCUGCCGAUGGAAGGAA
rnacentral:ncRNA from 1 species